UGGGGAAUCUUGCACAAUGGGGGAAACCCUGAUGCAGCGACGCCGCGUGAGCGAUGAAGCCCUUCGGGGUGUAAAGCUCUUUCGGCAGGGAAGAUGAUGACGGUACCUGCAGAAGCAGCUGCGGCUAACUACGUGCCAGCAGCCGCGGUAAUACGUAGGCAGCAAGCGUUGUUCGGAGUUACUGGGCGUAAAGGGUGUGUAGGCGGUUCUUUAAGUUUGGUGUGAAAUCUCCCGGCUCAACUGGGAGGGUGCGCCGAAUACUGGGAAGCUGGAGUGUGGGAAAGGCAGGCGGAAUUCCUGGUGUAGCGGUGAAAUGCGUAGAUAUCAGGAGGAACACCGGCGGUGUAGACGGCUUGCUAGACCAUAACUGACGCUGAGGCACGAAAGCGUGGGUAGCAAACA
rnacentral:rRNA from 1 species